rnacentral:rRNA from 1 species
UACGUAGGUGGCAAGCGUUGUCCGGAAUUAUUGGGCGUAAAGAGCUCGUAGGCGGUCUGUCGCGUCUGCUGUGAAAACUCAGGGCUUAACCCUGAGCUUGCAGUGGGUACGGGCAGACUAGAGUGCGGUAGGGGAGACUGGAAUUCCUGGUGUAGCGGUGAAAUGCGCAGAUAUCAGGAGGAACACCGGUGGCGAAGGCGGGUCUCUGGGCCGAUACUGACGCUGGAGGAGCG